AAGGGUUCGAGUGAAAGCAUACCUGUCGACACCUGAAAGAUGGUGAACAAUUCCUGAGCGGGGCAAAUCCAGAGGAAACUCUGGUGGAGGCCCGAAGCGAUAUUGACGUGCAAAUCGUUCGUCUGACUUGGGUAUAGGGGCGAAAUACUAAUCGAACCGUCUAGUAGCUGGUUCCCUCCGAAGUUUCCCUAAGGAUAGCUAUAGCUCAUUCGCGAGUUAUAUCAGGUAAAGCAAAAAAAAAAAAUAAUUUCUUGCAAAAUUAUUAUAUUCAAUACACUUAGAUCUACAAGGAUGCAAAGGACUACAGAUUUACAACAAAAAAUAUUAAAAACAAACGAAUUAAAAAAAAAGUAUUUCAUCUCUUUAAUAACACUCUCUUUGUCUCUCCUAAUUCUAGAUCUGACAAAAAAAGAAAAAUAAUACCAAUCAAUUGAAGUAAACAUUGCAUCAACAACCCAACAAUGAAUAAGAAAGUAUUUGUAAGAAGAAGGUGCAGCAAAUCUCUUGUAUGACGUGGUUUAGGUUGCGAUUUUCAUGAAUCAUAGAGUAUGGAAGUUGCAAUUUUCAUGUGAUAGAUUUUUUUGGUGAAAUGAAUUAGUGUAGUGAAGGAGUUAAAGUAUUAGUGUACUAGUAUAAAUGGUGUGUUUGGAGGCUGUGAGAGAAUAAGAGAUUUUAGGGUUUGUAAGAUUAGACUAUUUAUAUUAGGUGCAUGAUGUAUGUUGGGCUUUGUCUUUUGGGCUUUUAGCAUAUAGCUAUUUCUCAUCCUUUUGUAAGUAAUAACCGGGUACCGGGUCUAAAAUUUUUGGAUUCGGAAUUGGAACUGGUUCUAACCGGGUCCAAAAUUUAGAACCGGACCCGGACCCUUUUGGACCAAUUCCGGGUCUGGACCCGCCGAGUCCAAACCGGUUCCAAAACCGGGUACCCUAUAUUUUGCUCACCCCUAAACAGGACGAUGGUCAUGGAAGUCGAAAUCCGCUAAGGAGUGUGUAACAACUCACCGCCGAAUCAACUAACCCCGAAAAUGGAUGGCGCUGAAGCGCGUGAUCUAUACCCGUCCGUCGGGGCAAGUGCACGGCCCCAAUGAGUAGGAAGGCGCAGUGGUCGCUGCAAAACCUAUGGAGUGAGCCAAGGCGGAGCGGCCGUUGGUGCAGAUCUUGGUGGUAGUAGCAAAUAUUCAAAUGAGUACUUUGAAAGCCGAAGAAGGGAAAGGUUCCAUGUGAACAACACUUGCACAUGGGUAAGUCAAUCCUAAGAUAGGGGGAAGCCUUUCCGAUAGCGCGUUUAGCGCGAGCUUUGAAAGGGAAUCGGGUCAAAAUUCCUAAAACGGGACGUGGCGGUUGACGACAACGUUAGGAAGUCCAGAGACGUCGACGGGGGCCUCAAGAAGAGGUAUCUUUUUUGUUUAACAGCCUGCCCACCCUAUAAUCGGCUCAUCCGGAGGUAGGGUCCAGUGGCUAGAAGAGCACAACACGUUUUGUGGUGUCCAGUGCGCCCCCGGCUGCCCUUGAAAAUCCAGAGGACCGAGUGCCGACCACGUCUGGUGGUACUCAUAACCGCUUCAGGUCUCCAAGGUGAACAACCUCUGGUCGAUGGAAUAAUGUAGGUAAGAGAAGUCGGCAAAAUGGAUCCGUAACUUCUGGAAAAGGAUUGGCUCUGAGGACUGGGCACGGGGAUCCUAGUCCCGAACCCGUCGGCUGUCGGCGGUCUGCUCGAGCUGCUUCCGUGGCUAGAGCUAGUCGCCGCGUGCCGACCGGGGGACGGACGGGGAACGAUCCCUUCAAGGGCCUUCCCCGGGCGUCGAACUGUCGUCAACUCAGAACUGGUACGGACAAGGGGAAACCGACUGUUUAAUUAAAACAAAGCAUUGCGAUAGUCCGUGCGGAUGUUAACGCAAUGUGAUUUCUACCCAGUGCUCUGAAUGUCAAAGUGAAGAAAUUCAACCAAGCGCGGGUAAACAGCGGGAGUAACUAUGACUCUCUUAAGGUAGCUAAAUGCCUCGUCAUCUAAUUAGUGACGCGUAUGAAUAGAUUAACGAGAUUCCCACUGUCCCUGUCUACUAUCUAGCGAAACCACAACCAAGGGAAUGAGCUUAACAGAAUCAGCGGGGAAAGAAGACCCUAUUGAGCUUGACGCUAGUCCGACUUUGUGAAAUGACUUGAGAGGUGUAGGAUAAGUGGGAGCUUUGGCGCAAGUGAAAUAUCACUACUUUUAACGUUAUUUUUUUUAAUUCGUGAGUCGGAAGCGUGGCAAGCCCCUCCUUUUAGACCUAAGGUCCGCUUUGCGGGCCGAUCCGGGCGGAGGACAUUGUCAGGUGGGGAGUUUGGUUGGGGCGGCACGUCUGUUAAAAUAUAAUGCAGGUGUCCUAAGAUGAGCUCAACGAGAACAAAAAUCUCGUGUGGAAAAGAAGGGUAAAAUUAAGCUCGUUUGAUUCUGAUUUUUAGUACGAAUACAAACCAUGAAAGCAUGGCCUAACGAUCCUUUAGACCUUUUGAAUUUAAAUCUAGAGGUGUUAGAAAAGUUACCACAGGGAUAACUAGCUUGUGGAAGCUAAGAGUUCAUAGCGACGUUGCUUUUUGAUCCUUCUAUAUCGGCUCUUCCUAUCAUUGUGAAGCAGAAUUCACCAAGUGUUGGAUUGUUCACCCACCAAUAGGGAACGUGAGUUGGGUUUAUACCGUCGUGAGACAUGUUAGUUUUACCCUACCGAUGACAGUGUUGCAAUGGUAAUUCAACCUAGUAUGAGAGGAACCGUUGAUUCACACAAUUGGUCAUCGCGCUUGGUUGAAAAGCCAGUGGCGCGAAGCUACCGUGUAUUGGAUUAUGACUGAACGCCUCUAAGUCAGAAUCCGGGCCAGAAGCGACGCAUACAUCCGCCGCCCGAUUUCCGUCCUAUAGUAGGGGCUUCGGCCCCCAAGGGCACGUGUCGUAGGCUAAGCUCGCGCGGUGGAUGCGCUGUGAAAGCCGUCUUGAAGUACAAUUCCUAUCGAGCGGCGGGUUGAAU
rnacentral:rRNA from 1 species